UAGGGAAUCUUCGGCAAUGGACGAAAGUCUGACCGAGCAACGCAGCGUGAGUGAAGAAGGUUUUCGGAUCGUAAAACUCUGUUGUUAGAGAAGAACAAGGACGUUAGUAACUGAACGUCCCCUGACGGUAUCUAACCAGAAAGCCACGGCUAACUACGUGCCAGCAGCCGCGGUAAUACGUAGGUGGCAAGCGUUGUCCGGAUUUAUUGGGCGUAAAGCGAGCGCAGGCGGUUUCUUAAGUCUGAUGUGAAAGCCCCCGGCUCAACCGGGGAGGGUCAUUGGAAACUGGGAGACUUGAGUGCAGAAGAGGAGAGUGGAAUUCCAUGUGUAGCGGUGAAAUGCGUAGAUAUAUGGAGGAACACCAGUGGCGAAGGCGGCUCUCUGGUCUGUAACUGACGCUGAGGCUCGAAAGCGUGGGGAGCAAACAGG
rnacentral:rRNA from 1 species